GUUCCUUCGCAGGGGCGAUAUCAUAGCCUAUGAAGGUCCUAGCCGCGGCUGAUUAUUGCGGUGAAAACUUAACCCAUACCCCGAGCCGGACGACUUGCAUACAGUCGGCCUGGCAAUUUUGAUAGUCCGCGUCAGAGA
rnacentral:snRNA from 1 species